CAUUAGCUCAGUCGGUAGAGCGCAAGGUUCGCAAUCUUGAGGCCGGGGGUUCGAUCCCCCCAUGGUC
rnacentral:tRNA from 1 species